UCCACUAUUCAGUGGGAGAGUACAAGACUCUUAACCUUAUGGACGUGGGUUCAAGCCCCAUGGUGGAG
rnacentral:tRNA from 1 species